GCUAGCGGCAGGCCUAAUACAUGCAAGUCGAGGGGCAGCACGGUAGCAAUACUGGUGGCGACCGGCGCACGGGUGCGUAACACGUAUACAAUCUGCCUUUAACAGGGGGAUAGCCUUUCGAAAGAGAGAUUAAUACCCCAUAAUACUUGAAGUAGCAUUACUUUAAGUUAAAAGCUCCGGCGGUUAGAGAUGAGUAUGCGUCUGAUUAGCUAGUUGGUGAGGUAACGGCUCACCAAGGCAACGAUCAGUAGGGGAUCUGAGAGGACUACCCCCCACACGGAUACUGAGACACGGAUCCGACUCCUACGGGAGGCAGCAGUAAGGAAUAUUGGACAAUGCCCGCAAGGGUGAUCCAGCCAUGCCGCGUGCAGGAAGAAGGCCCUAUGGGUCGUAAACUGCUUUUACACCGGAGAAAACCCCCCUACGUGUAGGGGGCUGAUAGUAUGGUGAGAAUAAGCAUCGGCUAACUUCGUGCCAGCAGCCGCGGUAAGACGAAGGAUGCAAGCGUUAUCCGGAUUCAUUGGGUUUAAAGGGAGCGUAGGUGGACUGAUAAGUCAGUGGUGAAAUCUCCGGGCUUAACCCGGAAAUUGCCAUUGAUACUGUUGGUCUUGAGUACAGUUGCUGUGGGCGGAAUAUGUCAUGUAGUGGUGAAAUACAUAGAGAUGUCAUAGAACACCGAUUGCGAAGGCAGCUCACUACGGGGUUAUUGACACUGAGGCACGAAAG
rnacentral:rRNA from 1 species